AUUUUCCAGUUAUCUUUGAAGAACCUAUUGUUAUGACCUUGUUAGUUACUGUGCAUACACGAUUAUCUCCCUUGGCGAGACCACAUUUCCUUUUAAAAUGUGACUUACGACUUCACUUCGUAUUGAGAAAAGUAUAUAUUGUAGAAAAUUAACAGCCUACAUUUGUUGACACACAUGGUAUGUCAAGAUGAAUUGUGUACUAAGAGCUUCAUUGAACUUACAUAGAAACUUUUCAUCUAUAUUCAAUGGAAUCAUUCAAAAGACUAUUAUAUCAGGAAAUUCUAACCAAACAGUUCUUCGAGCCUUAAGUACCACGUCAACAUGCAGCCAGUCUUUUUCUACAAAGAACUUUAAUGUUCCUAGUGGACCUUUAAUUUCGAAAUCACCAUCCUGUCUUUUGUCUAAUAAUUCGAGUUUGUUUUCCAUUCUGCCAACUACUGGAUUCCCUUGGCAACAAAAACGUACUUACAAAAUGAAGCUGUAUCCAAAACUCAGGUGCAAAGGAUGUUAUUUUGUUUAUAGGCAUCGUCGUUUGUAUGUUGAGUGUAACUUAAAACCUCGUCACAAACAGAUGGAAUUUAAAACUAAAGGAGAGUUAUGGAGGGAAGAUUACUCAAAAGGAGGUGUAAAAACAGCAGCAUUUUGGAAAUGGUCUAAAGAAGCUUGGUAUAAGCGUGGCGAUAAUAAAUAUUCUCGUUUUGAUUGGCUACAAGGAAAAUAUGACUGAG